UGCAGUCGACGGCAGCACGGGAGCAAUCCUGGUGGCGAGUGGCGAACGGGUGAGUAAUACAUCGGAACGUGCCCAAUCGUGGGGGAUAACGCAGCGAAAGCUGUGCUAAUACCGCAUAAGAUCUACGGAUGAAAGCAGGGGAUCGCAAGACCUUGCGCGAAUGGAGCGGCCGAUGGCAGAUUAGGUAGUUGGUGGGGUAAAGGCUCACCAAGCCUUCGAUCUGUAGCUGGUCUGAGAGGACGACCAGCCACACUGGGACUGAGACACGGCCCAGACUCCUACGGGAGGCAGCAGUGGGGAAUUUUGGACAAUGGGCGAAAGCCUGAUCCAGCCAUGCCGCGUGCAGGAUGAAGGCCUUCGGGUUGUAAACUGCUUUUGUACGGAACGAAAAGGCUCUUUCUAAUAAAGAGGGCUCAUGACGGUACCGUAAGAAUAAGCACCGGCUAACUACGUGCCAGCAGCCGCGGUAAUACGUAGGGUGCAAGCGUUAAUCGGAAUUACUGGGCGUAAAGCGUGCGCAGGCGGUUAUGUAAGACAGUUGUGAAAUCCCCGGGCUCAACCUGGGAACUGCAUCUGUGACUGCAUAGCUAGAGUACGGUAGAGGGGGAUGGAAUUCCGCGUGUAGCAGUGAAAUGCGUAGAUAUGCGGAGGAACACCGAUGGCGAAGGCAAUCCCCUGGACCUGUACUGACGCUCAUGCACGAAAGCGUGGGGAGCAAACAGGAUUAGAUACCCUGGUAGUCCACGCCCUAAACGAUGUCAACUGGUUGUUGGGUCU
rnacentral:rRNA from 1 species